CUUUAUUCCGGGGGAACGCAAAGCUUUCUGGGAGCAGGAGUUGUUGUGGGCGCGAAGUGGCCCCCAACCUUGUGCGGAAUCCCUUCAUCCGGGAAUAGUCAACCAUGGUCAUGUAAAAGCCUUGAAAAGUCAUCUCCCUUUAUUGAAAUCCUUAAAACAGUGCUACUCAAAAGAUGGUUCAAAACUGAUGCCAAUCUGCAAAUCAUUUAUAUCCGGUUCAGAGGCGCUUCUUCUCCAUUCAUCUGGUGAUGGAGAAACAGAGUGAAGACUAAGCACGGGAGGAUUUUGAUGGGCCAGGCCUGGAAGUGGCCCUGUAACUUCCAUUCACAUUCCAUUGGCCAGAACUCAGCCACAUGGCCACACCUAACUGCAAGGGAGGCUAGAAAGUGGGGCCCAGCCAUGUUCCCAAGACCAAGAGAGCAGAAUAUCUGUCUCUGGCACAUCUGGUGAGCCACUGUCCCUUGGUCUUAUUCUGCAUUCCAUUCAUUCAGAAACUACUUACUCAGCACCUGCUAGAUAGACAGCUCUUAUGAUGAAAAAUAUUAUUAUUAGCCACUCAUAGUGAACUAACACACUAAUACAAACCUAGAGCUCGUUCAAGCUUGACAGGUCUAAGAAUUUAAGAUGUCACCUGGUGAGAAUGAUCAAAGCAGGUGGUGAGUAUCAUGGAAAGAGCUUGGGAUUCCUGGGGUCUAAUCCUAGCUUGGCCCAAGUAAUCAUUUGGAAAGGGCACCUGCAUCUCUGGACCUCAGGCUUCUAAUCUGCAUACUGAGAACUUGAACUGGACAGGUUUCUAAGUUCCAUUCCUAUUUCAGUGUCUCAGAAAGUCUUGGCAAUGGAUGAGGAUUACGUUAGAUUCCUACCAAACUCUAGUCUUCUCCUGUAACUAUGAGGCUUUCAGUCUUAAAAGCACCACGUAGCUUUGGAAAAGAAAGCAAGAGAUAAUACCUUCUACCCUUGAUUAAAUCUCCAACUGGAAGAAGAAUUUAAAAGGCAUCUCUCCCUGACUUGCGAUGCAUCUUUUUUUGUUGUUGGCACAUGUACGUGCUUGAUGAUAUUUUGAAAGUCUAAUGCUCAUGUUGAUCUUCACUCUUCAACUUCACACUGUGUAGUCACAGGGAAGCAGCACAUAAGUUGUGUUGUAGAGAAAGUCACUGAUCCCCCACAAGGUAGAAGACCCAAGCACCCAUAAUUAACAUAGGUACAAUUUGCAGACACCCGAUGUAUUGCUUCUUUGCUGUAUGAAACUCAUUCUGAGGCCAACGACCCUGAUUAUUAUUUAAUACAUUUGAUGGGGGUGUUUUUUAUUAAUUGACAAUUAGUUUAGCACCUGAAUUCUCUCAUUUGUUUAAUCGUCUCCCUCAAGCAUAUUUGUAUUUUUGAUAGCAGCUAUACUGUUCUCUUUGCGAAUUCAUAUCAUUAACCAUUUUCUGCUUAACUGUUUCUUUGUCCUUGCUGGUUAUCUCUAAUUCCUAGUUUUAUCUUCCUGCACUCCAGAAUCUCUAUCUGAUCUUAACUCGGCGGCAGCUUUCUGGAUGUCAGACUACAAGACAGAAAGCGGAGCUUUCUGGGCCACACAGGUUCACUUCUGAGUCCCCUGCUAACCACUGUGUGCCUCUACCCACCUUUUGAAAAGGUAAAUACUAGUCAGGGUUUUCACUUGGCUGAACAGAUAUUGUCUCUGAUAUUGUAGUGGCUUAAAUAGUAUCCUUCCCAAAUUCACAUCCACCCCAGACCUCAGAAUGUGAGCUUACUUGGAAAGAGAGUCUUUGCAGAUGUCACUAAGGUAAAGAUUGAGAUGCUAUCAAACUGGAUUAUGGUGGGCUCUGAAUCCAAUGAGAGUGUCCUUAUAAGAGACAGAUAAGGACUCACAGGCAUGCAGAGAAGGAAGCAACAUGAAGACAAAAGCAGAGGUUGGAGUGAUGCUGCGACAAGCCAAGGAACACCAGGAGCCACCAGAAGCUGGAAAAGGCAAGGAAGUGUUCUUCCCUGGAGCCUUCAGAGGGAGCUUGGCCUGUCAGCACCUUGAUUUCGGACUUCACAUAUGGGAGCCAUAUGUGAAAGAGAACGUUUCUGUUGUUUAAGCCACCAAGUUUUUGCUGUGGUAAUUUGGUCUGGCAUUCCUAGGAAACUAAUAUAGAAUUUUCCGUCCGUUUUUGUUUUGUUCUUGUUAUUGUAUAAGAACUAUUUCUUCCUCGAGUAAAGACUGGGGUCUCUGGGUCAUAUAAUAAUUUUUAUAAAAAUUAUUUGGUUUUACAACAAAUUGGCUUUAUUGUAACUGCUUUUUAAAAACCACCUAUGUUGAUGAACUCUUUCAUGUAACAAAUACAGCUCCAUGUUGUCAUCUCAUAAUAUCUCAUAAUAUGGGUGUGCUUUGAUUUUAUUAAACAAUUUGCUACUGAUAAAUGUUUAGAUUAUCAAAUUUUCACUUUUAUAAGCAACUGUGUGAUAA